ACGGACAUUCCUGAUACGGCAAUGAUGAUAAAUACACAAAACAUUGCUCACAACAUGUCCGCAGAGUAUAAAGUUCUCUGAUGAGCUUGUUUGUUAAAGCUUUAAAUCAAGUACAGAUACGGAACUAACAUAA
rnacentral:scRNA from 12 species